GCUUGUACAGCUGGGGACUGACAACCCUUUGAUUUCCGACUCUGUUGCCUCCGGGGCGACCCUGCCUUCGGGCGGGGGCUCCGGGUGGACACUUCAAACUCUUGCGUAACUUUGCAGUCUGAGUAAACUUAAUUAAUAAAUUAAAACUUUUAACAACGGAUCUCUUGGUUCUGGCAUCGAUGAAGAACGCAGCGAAAUGCGAUAAGUAAUGUGAAUUGCAGAAUUCAGUGAAUCAUCGAAUCUUUGAACGCACAUUGCGCCCCCUGGUAUUCCGGGGGGCAUGCCUGUUCGAGCGUCAUUUCACCACUCAAGCCUCGCUUGGUAUUGGGCAACGCGGUCCGCCGCGUGCCUCAAAUCGUCCGGCUGGGUCUUCUGUCCCCUAAGCGUUGUGGAAACUAUUCGCUAAAGGGUGUUCGGGAGGCUACGCCGUAAAACAACCCCAUUUCUAAGGUUGACCUCGGAUCAGGUAGGGAUACCCGCUGAACUUAAGCAUAUCAAUAAGCGGAGGAAAAGAAACCAACAGGGAUUGCUCUAGUAACGGCGAGUGAAGCAGCAAUAGCUCAAAUUUGAAAUCUGGCGUCUUCGACGUCCGAGUUGUAAUUUGUAGAGGAUGCUUCUGAGUGGCCACCGACCUAAGUUCCUUGGAACAGGACGUCAUAGAGGGUGAGAAUCCCGUAUGCGGUCGGAAAGGCGCUCUAUACGUAGCUCCUUCGACGAGUCGAGUUGUUUGGGAAUGCAGCUCUAAAUGGGAGGUAAAUUUCUUCUAAAGCUAAAUAUUGGCCAGAGACCGAUAGCGCACAAGUAGAGUGAUCGAAAGAUGAAAAGCACUUUGGAAAGAGAGUUAAAAAGCACGUGAAAUUGUUAAAAGGGAAGGGAUUGCAACCAGACUUGCUCGCGGUGUUCCGCCGGUCUUCUGACCGGUCUACUCGCCGCGUUGCAGGCCAGCAUCGUCUGGUGCCGCUGGAUAAGACUUGAGGAAUGUAGCUCCCUCGGGAGUGUUAUAGCCUCUUGUGAUGCAGCGAGCGCC
rnacentral:rRNA from 1 species